UAGUAACGGCGAGUGAAGCGGGAUGAGCUCAAGCUUAAAAUCUCCGUGCAAAAUUUGCAUGGCGAAUUGUAGUCUAUAGAGGCGUGAUUAGCGUAGGCACUUGGGGCAAGUUCCUUGGAAGAGGACAGCAUUGAGGGUGAUACUCCCGUUCCCUCCCGAGUUGCUUAUGCGUAUAAUCCGUUUUCUUUGAGUCGCGUUGUUUGAGAAUGCAGCGCAAAGUAGGUGGUAAAUUCCAUCUAAAGCUAAAUAUUGGUGCGAGACCGAUAGCAAACAAGUACCGUGAGGGAAAGAUGAAAAGAACUUUGAAAAGAGAGUUAAAGAGUACCUGAAACUGCUGAAAGGGAACCAAAUCGUUUCCAGUAUCUAUAAUCCGCGGUAUAUUUCAUUGGCGAAUGUGUGCGUGCAUGUACUAUGGCAGCGGCUUUUUGCUGCGCCUUGUGUGUGUUUCGCAUUUUCUCGCUGGUGCCCUGUACUGUGGUGGGACGUCAAUGUCGGUUCGUAUGCUGCGGGAAAUGACUGCCGAGGAGGUAGGGCGAACGCUUGCGUUUGUCUGUUACAUCUGGGCGGACUUAGUAGUCGUGGUUGGGACUGAGGUGCCUAUAAUGUGCUUAUGAGUGGGAUCGAAUCUCCAUGUGCGCCGUGUGCGGAUAGCUUGCUAUGCGUGUGUAGCUGUGUGUGGAU
rnacentral:rRNA from 1 species